GGGGCUGUUUCUUUUUUGUAGACAUUCUUUGAUUUCUGGUAAAAGAGGAGGGUUCUGCUCUGCCAUUCCUGGACGAGGUGACCCAGAAGCAGAGAGGAAGUACAUUCCAGGUCCCUCAUGUGCCAGAUAUCCUGCUGGGCAUUUUACGCACACGAGUCGUUUAAUCUACCUUGUGAGGUGAACCUGAUGAUGGCCAGAAUACACUGAGGCUGCCGACCUGUCAGGCUGGGACCGGUCCGAUUCCCAAGCACUCCCCCGUUCUUCCUUCAAGACUCAGCUCAGACACCCUUCCUACAAGUUCUCCAUGACUCCUUAAGACCAGCACCCAGCCUCAGUCAUGUCCAGCUCUUUGCAACUGCAUGGACUGUUGCCCGCCAGGUUCCUCUGUCCAUGGGAUUUCCCAGAUCUCAAUCGUUUUGAGGAGUGCUAGACAGGUGCCUGGUGGGCUGCCGUCUAUGCGGUCACACAGAGUCGGACACGACUGAAGCAACGCAGCAGCAGCAGCAGCAGCAGACAGGCGUUUUGUAGAUUUGGACUUGGUGAUUUUAACGAGAGUUUGGUCCCUUCACUCACCGCAUGAAUAAAAGCCUGUCCUGAAA
ensembl:lncRNA